rnacentral:rRNA from 1 species
GAUGAACGCUGGCGGCGUGCCUAAUACAUGCAAGUCGAGCGAACAGACGAGGAGCUUGCUCCUCUGACGUUAGCGGCGGACGGGUGAGUAACACGUGGAUAACCUACCUAUAAGACUGGGAUAACUUCGGGAAACCGGAGCUAAUACCGGAUAAUAUAUUGAACCGCAUGGUUCAAUAGUGAAAGACGGUUUUGCUGUCACUUAUAGAUGGAUCCGCGCCGCAUUAGCUAGUUGGUAAGGUAACGGCUUACCAAGGCAACGAUGCGUAGCCGACCUGAGAGGGGGAUAGGCAACACUGGAACUGAGACACGGUCAAGACUCCUAAGGGAGGCAGCAGUAGGGAAUCUUCCGCAAUGGGCGAAAGCCUGACGGAGCAACGCCGCGUGAGUGAUGAAGGUCUUCGGAUCGUAAAACUCUGUUAUUAGGGAAGAACAAAUGUGUAAGUAACUAUGCACGUCUUGACGGUACCUAAUCAGAAAGCCACGGCUAACUACGUG